GUCCCUGUAGCUCAAUUGGAUAGAGCAACUGCCUUCUAAGCAGUAGGUUGUGUGUUCAAAUCACGCCGGGGACG
rnacentral:tRNA from 1 species